rnacentral:rRNA from 1 species
AUUGAACGCUGGCGGCAGGCUUAACACAUGCAAGUCGAGCGGAGAUGAGGUGCUUGCACCUUAUCUUAGCGGCGGACGGGUGAGUAAUGCUUAGGAAUCUGCCUAUUAGUGGGGGACAACAUUCCGAAAGGAAUGCUAAUACCGCAUACGCCCUACGGGGGAAAGCAGGGGAUCUUCGGACCUUGCGCUAAUAGAUGAGCCUAAGUCGGAUUAGCUAGUUGGUGGGGUAAAGGCCUACCAAGGCGACGAUCUGUAGCGGGUCUGAGAGGAUGAUACGCCACACUGGGACUGGGACACGGCCCAGCCUCCUACGGGAGGCAGCAGUGGGGAAUAUUGGACAAUGGGCGGAAGCCUGAUCCAGCCAUGCCGCGUGUGUGAAGAAGGCCUUUCGGUUGUAAAGCACUUUAAGCGAGGAGGAGGCUACCUGGAUUAAUACUCUAGGAUAGUGGACGUUACUCGCAGAAUAAGCACCGGCUAACUCUGUGCCAGCAGCCGCAGUAACAC